rnacentral:rRNA from 1 species
UGGGGAAUAUUGCACAAUGGGGGAAACCCUGAUGCAGCGACGCCGCGUGAACGAAGAAGGUAUUCAUAUCGUAAAGUUCUGUCCUAUGGGAAGAUAAUGACAGUACCAUAGAAGAAAGCUCCGGCUAAAUACGUGCCAGCAGCCGCGGUAAUACGUAUGGAGCGAGCGUUGUCCGGAAUUAUUGGGCGUAAAGGGUACGCAGGCGGUUUAAUAAGUCGAAUGUUAAAGAUCGGGGCUCAACCCCGCAAAGCAUUGGAAACUGAUAAACUUGAGUAGUGGAGAGGAAAGUGGAAUUCCUAGUGUAGUGGUGAAAUACGUAGAUAUUAGGAGGAAUACCAGUAGCGAAGGCGACUUUCUGGACACAAACUGACGCUGAGGUACGAAAGCGUGGGGAGCAAACAGG